GACGGGGGAUGCAAGCGUUAUCCGGAAUGAUUGGGCGUAAAGGGUCCGCAGGUGGCCCGGUCAGUCCGCUGUCAAAGCCUGGGGCUCAACCCUGGAGAGGCGGCGGAGACCACCGGGCUUGAGUCCGGUAGGGGCAGAGGGAAUUCCCGGUGGAGGCGGUAGAAAUGCGUAGAGAUCGGGAAGAACGCCAAGGGCGAAGGCACUCGUGCUAGGCCUGAUUUCGCCGACUGGACACUCAGGGACGAGAGCCAGGGGAGCGAAUGGGAUUAGAUAACCCCGG
rnacentral:rRNA from 1 species